AAAGCUGUAGCUGAGCACAUCCAGUCUGGAAGUUAUGGAAACAACCCCCGGAAGGUCCAUAAGAAGAAAGAGGAAGAUGUUUCCUUGAUACUACAAGGGAAAAAAGGCAGUCAAAACCUGCUUAUUCAGAGGAGAAACUACUCUCCUUUUCCAGCUCAGUCUUUAAACCCGCCAUUGCCAAAAGGUGGAGAAGUCAGACGCACUCGAGUGUUCACACCCUUAGG
rnacentral:lncRNA from 1 species